AUCGUAAAGAGCAGUCGUCGUGGGCAGGAGAAUUUAUUUGAACACAUCCGUCUGUCCAUUCUUCGGAACAGUGUGAGGAAAAACGAAAAACUAAGACGUCCUUUCAGCGAGAAGACCACAGCGGACAUCAUACCAACCGAUCACUGGCUGAGGUCAUGUGGAAAGACUGGAGAUCUACAGCAGCAUUGCAGUCCAGCCAGAUGAUCAACCAGUAGCUGCUCGCAUCUCAGCCUGCUUGAUGGAAAUUUCCGACUUUCACCUGGAUGACCUUCACCUUCAACUCCACCUUGCCAAGACAGAAGUUCUCGUGGUUUCAGCCACCCAUCCUUUGUGUUAUAAUCAAUCAGUUAAACUUCACAGACUACAGUGCUGGAACUGCCUGAUCUUGAAGAUUUGCCCAGUACAACAUUGGGAAGACCAGGCCAUUCCUAUCGGAAAAUGCUACACAACAGAACAACAACUGGCUCUGCAAGCCUGUACCUAUACGCCCUCCAGAAGCUUGUGCUCUGAAAGUGAACAGCAUCUUGUGGUGCCAUCCC